rnacentral:rRNA from 1 species
UGGGGAAUCUUGCACAAUGGAGGAAACUCUGAUGCAGCGACGCCGCGUGAGCGAUGAAGCCCUUCGGGGUGUAAAGCUCUUUCGACGGGAACGAUAAUGACGGUACCCGAAGAAGAAGCUGCGGCUAACUACGUGCCAGCAGCCGCGGUAAUACGUAGGCAGCAAGCGUUGUUCGGAAUUACUGGGCGUAAAGAGUGUGUAGGCGGUGUUCUAAGUCUGUUGUGAAAUCUCCCGGCUUAACUGGGAGGGUGCGGCGGAGACUGGAAUGCUAGAGUAUGGGAGAGGUAAGCGGAAUUCCUGGUGUAGCGGUGAAAUGCGUAGAUAUCAGGAGGAACACCUGUGGUGUAGACAGCUUACUGGACCAUGACUGACGCUGAGACACGAAAGCGUGGGUAGCAAACAGGAUUAGAUACCCUGGUAGUCCACGCCCUAAACGAUGCAUACUUGGUGUGAGCCAUUCAUUUGGUUCGUGCCGGAGCUAACGCGUUAAG